GAGCAAAGGAAGAUGUGUGAGCGUCGAAUCUCAACAGAAGGGAACAGGAUACCCUGGUGGGGAUGAUUGAGAUCCAAGGCACCUGCACCAGAGUGCUUGUGAGUCUACAUACUGCAUAUAAAAAAAAACUGUACACGAGCACUGAGCCCUCACGGGACCAGCGCCAAUGAAUAUUCAAAUUCACCGGAUGGGCCCGUCUCCUUUGCACAAUUCAGCGGGGAUAGAAGAGGAUAUUCUUAGGGACACAGCUCCAGACUACAGGAGUUAUUGAAACAGCGGAACACAGCACGCUCAGCUGUUUCGGUAACAUAGGCCAACAGCAACCUCAGCUGGGUGGAAGGGAGAUGGGGACACACAUUUGAAACAUUUAUGGCACGUCCUGUGUGUAUAUAUCUGGAGUGCUGUGGGCAUUAACAAGAUCGGUCAGUGAACCUCGAAGUACCGAUCCCCGGGAGGCAGCACCACCACUACGAAAUUCUUCUCAUGCCUAGUUAGUUGUUGUGUCUAUUUAACACAACAAGCCCAGGUCACGUGAACACAUCUGACCUGACGAUAAUCACUCUAUGGGAAGCUAUGCCUUCUUUUUCUGUCUAUUCAGAUUUUCCAUUUAUACAGAGGAAUUCUCUACUACAAGCAUUGAAGUUUGUUUUCCCGGACUCAUCAGACCAAGUUUUGAGUCUCACUAAAUAAAUGUAUUUAUGCAAGAAAUGGUCUAAAAACUAGUCACUAGAUGACUACAUUUGGAACAUCAAAUCGAAUAGGCUUGCGGUCAAUAAGCUGCGGUAUGUGUCAGCUAACUAUCAAACUGUGUAAACAGUGUGAAUCCAGCAUUACUCAUCUAAAAUAUGGAA